rnacentral:misc_RNA from 1 species
CCUCUUCCAUCUCAUCAAGUACUCAGCUACCACCAUCAUCAUCAUCUACACAGUGUUGAAGAAAGGAUCAACUAUUUGGUGCAACUUUCUUGUAUCAGUAAGUUGGUCUAAUUAAUUGCUUAAUUUGUACGUAUAUAUGCAUGACAUGUACUCCUUUCUUUCUAAUGUACUUGUUAUUUGGGUUGGGGUUUGGGGGAUAUAUGUUACAAUCCUCUAGAUGGAGGCACUGAUGAAUUUUUGUAUUUCUGCUUUUAGUUUUUGUGUUUUAAUACUUAUUUUUGGGUUUCUGGGGAUAAAAGGAUUGGAUUUGGGUAUAAGUGGUAUAGAAGAAAGGGGGAGAUUUGCAUUAAUGUGGGUAAUUUUGUUUUUGUGGUUAUUAUUGGGUCUUGGUUAGAUCUUGUACGUUCACUUGUUUUUGCACCUCUGAUGUU